GACGAAGGGGGCUAGCGUUGUCCGGAUUUAUUGGGCGUAAAGAGCGUGUAGGCGGUCAGGUAGGUCCGUUGUGAAAACUCGAGGCUCAACCUCGAGACGCCGAUGGAAACCAUCUGACUAGAGUCCGGAAGAGGAGAGUGGAAUUCCCGGUGUAGCGGUGAAAUGCGCAGAUAUCGGGAAGAACACCCGUGGCGAAGGCGGCUCUCUGGGACGGUACUGACGCUGAGACGCGAAAGCGUGGGGAGCGAACAGG
rnacentral:rRNA from 1 species